CAGCUAGCUCUGCCCAGAGUCCCCAGUCCUCUGUCCAACUUCACUGGCCAGGCUUCUGACAGUUUGGAGAGAGUGACACCAAGUGGCCAAGCCUGAGACUACACCUUUGGGCCUCAGGUUUAUCACCAGCCUGGGAACGGCUCUUUGUCCCCUCCACCUGUGAGUAAGGCGCUGAACCUCUCUCGAUCUUGCUUCUCUCAGCUGUAAAGUGGGGAUGAUGCUGCCUACCUGGCAGGGCAGAGGUGAGGAAUGAAUGAAGUAACCUACGAACAUCAUCUCCAGGCCUCUUUGUUAUACAGCAAACAUGUGGAAACUAGUGGGUCUUGUUAUCAUUACCUCUUCAAACUUUCAUCUUACCCCACAGCAAUUCUAAAGCAGAGCCUCUUAAAGUACAGACCAAGUACCAGUGGAAGGUUUUGUUGGUUACAUGACUGCACCAUCAAGUAAUAUCCCAUUUUCUUUCCAUCAUUCCUAUCACAUCUAGGCAACCGUUUGUUACUGAUAUUUCUUUAAUGCCUUUCUAAUGCAUCCCAUCUCCCUUCUGAACAAAAAGAGAGUGGGCCACAGACCUGGAGCCUUCAGAAGGCAAGGUUAUUUGGCCACAAGUUAAUAAAGUUAAGUGUUUUCAUAAUAUUUAUUUUUUGUGGUCAUCUCUUGUUGAAGGCAAGUAAUGCUGAUUUCCAUUUACGAUAGAUGCAGUAGAUUGGGUUAUUGUCAACGUUUAUCAGUCCUUCCUACUGGCAGCUCCCUGGUAACUCUCUCUACUGAUGUCAGGCUUGGCUGUGUGACCUCCUUUGGUCAACAGAAUGUGAGCUAGGCUUCCAAGCAGAAGCUUCGAGAGCCAGCAUGUGGUUCUGCCCUGUGCUCUCUUCUCUCUGCUGUGAGUGAGAUGGGCAGGGGAUGCGACAGGGAUGGGCUGCUUCUUCACCCUGAAUUCCACAGUAAAGAGCACACAGGGACCAGAGCCACGUUUUGUUGCAGCUAACCAGCAACCAACAUGAAAUAUGAGUGAGAAAUAAACCUUCCCUGUUGACAGCCCACUGAGAUUCUAGGGUCAUUUGUUAUUGCAGCAAAAUCUAGCCUGACUUGACUGAUACAGUAGAAAUAAAACCUUUCCUUUAAAAACAAAUACACUUUGGUAAAAUAAAUGUGUUUGCUUAAAGGAAAGUAUUACCUAAGAUAAUGAUGCUGGCAGUAGGGGACGUACACAAUGGGGGAAGUGGCUGGAUGACUGAUGUUAGGAGACACUGGUGCAGAGUUUUAAAUGUGAAGACUUACUUUAGGUUGCAGGUGGCUUGUCUCAGAGCCCCCAAAACACUUCUAAAUUCCCAUUUCAAACUCUCCAGUCUGUGUCCCCUCAUGCAGCCAGAGUGAGUUUUCUAAAGCUACACAUUUGGUUGAGUUCCUCCCCUGUUCUAACCUCUUCGAUGGCUCCCAUGUACCCUCAGGAUAAAGUCCUCAUUCUUCAUCAUGGCCUACUGGGCCCAUCAUAGUCUGUCCCACCUUCUCCACCUCCUGGCCCCCUUGUGCUCUCUGCUCUAGCCACACUGACCUCUUUGUUAUUCUUCAAACAUGGGGAGCAUGCUCUUGCCUCAGAGCCUUCCAAUUUGAAAUUCUCUCCGGCUGUAAUGUUCUUCUCCAAGGUAGGAACAUGGCAGUUCCCUUACUCCCUGAGGUUGAUGCUUAAAUACUACUUCCUCCAAAAGUUCUUCCCAGACUCCUACACAAAACAGGGACCUUCCGUUCUCCUGCCCCCUUAUCCUGGUUUUUUGCUCCAUAUCAUCUCUUACCCUCCUACCAUAUUGUAUGUUUGUUUAUAGUCUGUAUCUCCCAUUAGAGUGUUAGCUCCUCGAAAGCAAGGUUUUUGUCUCAUUUUUCGCUGCUGUGGUUCUAGUACGUACAACACCAUCUGGUACCUAGUAGGUGCUCAGUACGGACAUGCUGAAUGAAGGAAUGAAUAAAGGAUGGCAACGGUAAAGCCCAGCAGCUUUAGACCCAGAACAUCACACUUCUUUCGAGUUCAGCUCAUAAAGAACUUCUCUUGCCAAUGGCUCGGAUCACAUCCAUCUCAUUGGCUACCUCAGCUCACGUCUCUCCCUGAACCAACCAGGAGAAUGGAACACACUGGCUGGUUAGGACUAGGUCCCGUGCCCAUAUUCGAGUCCAGGAAUAGGCUCAGCCCCAUCUAAGAAAAGUGGGCUAUAAGUGAGACAGAAUUCUGUAAGAAAACGGUGCCACUGUUAUCAGAGAAAGAGGAAAUGGCUGCUAGGUAGGCAAACUCCAAAAGGUAAAUUAUUCACCUGGUGAGUGCGUAGAGUUUAGCAGGGGUUCUGUAAAUGAGGGGCCUUAUCUGGGAUCAAGUGGUAUUCAGGUGGGAGCUGAGGUAGGGGGAAUUCUGUGAACACUAGAGAUGAAGCUAGAAUAAGGAGCAGGUGAUUCAGGCAGCCCUAGGCUCCAGUAGAUCCAGGGCAUUAAAACACUGGUGGAAGAAAUUAGAAGUUUGGAGGCAAAAGAAAUCUUCAUUUUCUACAUGCAACUUCUUUCAUAAUCAGCAAAAUAUUAAUCUCUCUUCUGACACUGAGGAUGACACCCCUGAGAAGAAAUUUUAAAAGAAACAUUGUUGGCUCUAAUCUAUUACUGUUGAUUAGUCUGAGGACCCACAUGUGCGUACUGCAUGCUACAACAUAAGGCAUACCGCAAACCCCAACGACCAGCCAAGUGGGGCCUCCUGAAAUUGGCAGUCAUGGUCAACUGGAAUUCUGAACCAUAUGGUAUUAGUGCUGUUAUUGGGAAUGAGUAAUCUAUAGAAUCUAAAUUCUAUAAUCUUUAGUAAUGCCUUCGGUGGUAGAGUCUGAGAGUUGUCCCCCACUGUUCGUUUUCCCCUUCCUAUAAUGAUAGAAGCUUCAUAGAAGCACAUGACUGCUCAGAAUAAAAACUACGUUUCCCAGCCUCCUUUGCAGCAGAGAGUGGUCACAAGCCUGAGGGAUGGUCAAUGGGAUAUGAACAGAAGACAGAAAGGCAAACAUGGUGGUUAGCCAUUUGGACUUUGGGAUGGGGACAACAUGCAGAUAAUGAUGGGGCCUAAGCCUCUGACAAUUCACGGUGCAGAGUCACCACUGCAACUCAGGCUUCCGUGCAAAAGAAACUUUUAUCAUGUUUCUGGCUCACGUCUCUGGACCUCAUAGGUGAAAUUAUUCAAAUUAAUACACCUCUAAAGAGGUGGGACUGGCUUGGAAAAUUGCAUAAAGUAUGUACAUGGAGUAAAUCCUUUGGGAAAAAAAAAAGAGAAAGAAGUACAUGGUUUUGAUUCACUUAUAUCAGUUUAUUCCUGUUCAACAAAUACCAAAGACUAUCUAAAGGAAGACGCCUUGCCCAGCAUGCCCCUCUAUUUUAGCUGCCUUAGCGCUUUGGCCUCUUUAACUUAAGUCCUCCAAGAUCUGGAUUCCCAAACCUGGCUGACUAUCCGUAGCAUAUGGGGAGUCUUUCUAAAAUACACAUUCCUGGGCCUUGGCCAGUUCAUCUGAAGAAGUAGGAUAUCAGAAAUGUAUAAUUUACAAACACUCCCUGCUUUACCAACUGUGCGACCUUGGGUAAGUUACUUGAUUUCUCAGUGCUGCCUCUCUCUCUUGCAAAAAAUGAGGACCUGCCACAAUAGGGCUUUGCAAGGGUGACUUUAUUCCACACAAAAAAACACCCAGGAUGGUGCCCAGAACAAGAGAUCUGUAUGUGCUAGUUAUCAUCACACCUGUUGGGGGAAGUAUAAAUUAAUGCAGACUCCCAGAAGGAGACCGUCUCCACUAUCAAGAUGUUAAAUAAGUCCUCUUUGACCCUGCAACGUGGGGCUGAAAACUCUCAUUCAUCCAGCAUGCGCACAAGAAUGUACUUUGCAGGAUACAGUUGUUCAACAAGCGUUUACUGAGCACCCACACCUUAGUCAGGAUCAAACAGCCUAUGCUGCAUAGCAACCUCCCAAAUCACAGUGCUUAAUACUGCAAAGGUUUAUUUCUUCCUUUCACAUUAUGAUGCAGUGUGAGUGCCCUUCUCUGUCUUGUUGCUAUACUGUCUGGAACAGGUGAUCGUGGAAAUGGACAUGGCAGGCAAAGAAACAGUUUAAAGUCAUGCGGUUUUUUUUUUUUUUUUUUUUUUUAAGGGAUAGGCUGGAAGUGGCUUCCGUCACUUUCACACAUCCCAUUGCACAGAAAUGAGCCGCAGAGGUCCAACCUCAUGGCAAGGGAGGUUGGGAAAAGCAGAAGAGCAAGCGGCUGUUGAAUGAGCAUUGUCCCUGUGAUAAAUGCUAUGUUCAAGGGACUCUUCUAGGAGCUGGGGACUCAGAGAUGAGCAAGAUCAACAAGGUCCUGCCCCCACAGAGCUUCCCAAUACUAAACUUCAUUUCAAAUUAUGACCCCAGGAGUAUGUCAUUUUAUACUUAAGCAAGGAUUAUAUGAAGAAUUCAUCUUCAUAAGUUAGGGCCAUUGCAUCAGAAAGUAUAUAAAUUUAUUGCCGUGACAGAUAUGGUCAAAUUGUCCUCCAAAGAAUUGCGCCAAUUUCCCCUUCCACCAGCAGGGUACAAGAGUGCUUUUUUUCCUGCAGACUUGCCAGCACAGAGUGUUAUCAGAUUUUGGAUUAUUACCAGUCUGAGAGAUGAAAAUGAUCCCUCUGUGUACUUUAAUUUGCAUUUUUAUUAUAAAAGAGGUUGAACAUCCUUUCAUAUACUUAUGAGCUAUUCAUAUUUCCUUUUCUGAGAACUGUGUGUUCAUAUCUCUUAUCCAUUUUUCUACUGACAUGAUUAAAUGAAAAAUGAAGGGACAGAAUAGGAUGCAUAUUAUAUUCACUUUUGUAAAUUAAAAGCAAAACAAUAUUUUGAUGUAUACAUAUAACCAUUCUUGUAUGUGUAUAAAAGUUUUGUACAAGCCACAAGAAACUGUUUAUGGGGGGGUAAACUUGGUGCCUUUUUUUUUUGCCUGUGAGCUUUAAAAAAAAAUGUUAUUUUUUAAUACCCUGAAUGUAGGGGUAGUUCGUUACACCUGUGUGCUAUGUUUCGAGCUUUUCUGAAUGUAUUACUUGUAUUUUUCAAAAAAUAUCAAUAAGGGUUUUUUGGACUAUUUAAAUAUUUAAAACUCUAAUAUAUGUUAAUUCCGAAGAAAAUUUAGAAGCAUGCUAUGUCCGCAAAAAAUCACCAUUAGGAAUUGAGGCCAGUCCUGGAAUUCAGAUCAAGUCAUAUACACUUUAUAAGUGCUCAAGAAAUAUUUUUGGAUUGAAAGAAAUGGAAGCGUCUCUUUAACUGAAUCACCAAAGACCCCAGAUGUGGAAUUACAAUAUUCUUUUGUUUUCAAGAUGAGCAAGACAGAGAGACCAGAGUUGCCCUGCCAGGAUUUUUUGUGUGUGAAAAGGCUGGAGCUUUUGUCCCAUAAAGUCAAGGGCCAAGGCAAACACUGCAAAAGGUUUCCUGCGGAGAUGUCCCCCUCUAAAUAAUGCCUGUCAGCUCUGAGAUUGUAUCUGAUUGGUUGAAUUUAGGUCAUGUGCCCAUCUCAGCCAAUCACUGUUGCCAGGGGGUGGGCUAGAUUAGUCAUGUCCCACCCCUGAAGCCAGUGGGUGGAAUCUACACUACCCAGACCACUUGGGUCAUCAGCGAUGGAGGUAAAGGAAAACUGGAGUGCCAAUAGCAGAAGGAUCAACAGAGGCUGGAAGGCGACAGCAUUAUAACAUGUCCCCUCCGCAGUCACCUACUGUGUACAAGACACUGUGCAAACUGCUGGGGAUAUGAUGGUGAACAAGACAGACGUAGUCCCAGCCCUCAGGGAGCUGGCAUCUUAGUGGGAGAG
rnacentral:lncRNA from 1 species